GACGAACGCUGGCGGCGUGCUUAACACAUGCAAGUCGAACGCUGAAGCUCAGCUUUUGUUGGGUGGAUGAGUGGCGAACGGGUGAGUAACACGUGAGUAACCUGCCCCCUUCUUUGGGAUAACGCCCGGAAACGGGUGCUAAUACUGGAUAUUCACUGGUCUUCGCAUGGGGGUUGGUGGAAAGGGUUUUUCUGGUGGGGGAUGGGCUCGCGGCCUAUCAGCUUGUUGGUGGGGUGAUGGCCUACCAAGGCUUUGACGGGUAGCCGGCCUGAGAGGGUGACCGGUCACAUUGGGACUGAGAUACGGCCCAGACUCCUACGGGAGGCAGCAGUGGGGAAUAUUGCACAAUGGGCGCAAGCCUGAUGCAGCGACGCCGCGUGAGGGAUGGAGGCCUUCGGGUUGUGAACCUCUUUCGCUCAUGGUCAAGCCGCAACAAUGGUUGUGGGGAGGGUAGUGGGUAAAGAAGCGCCGGCUAACUACGU
rnacentral:rRNA from 1 species